UAGUAACGGCGAGUGAAGCGGGAACAGCUCAAAUUUGAAAUCUGGCCCUUGGGUCCGAGUUGUAAUUUGCAGAGGAUGCUUUUGGUGAGGUGCCUUCCGAGUUCCCUGGAACGGGACGCCUAAGAGGGUGAGAGCCCCGUACGGUUGGCCACCAAGCCUGUGUAAAGCUCCUUCGACGAGUCGAGUAGUUUGGGAAUGCUGCUCAAAAUGGGAGGUAUAUUUCUUCUAAAGCUAAAUACUGGCCAGAGACCGAUAGCGCACAAGUAGAGUGAUCGAAAGAUGAAAAGCACUUUGAAAAGAGGGUUAAAUAGCACGUGAAAUUGUUGAAAGGGAAGGAUUUAUGACCAGACUUUUUCUGGGGGGAUCAUCCGGUGUUCUCACCGGUGCACUUCCCCCAGUUGAGGCCAGCAUCGGUUUCUGUCGGGGGAUAAAAGCUUCAGGAAUGUGGCUCCUUCGGGAGUGUUAUAGCCUGUUGCAUAAUACCCUGACGGGGACCGAGGUUCGCGCAUUGCAAGGAUGCUGGCGUAAUGGUUAUUAAUCACCCGU
rnacentral:rRNA from 1 species